rnacentral:snoRNA from 1 species
GCGACAGGAAAUUACCUCACGGGGAGGAAUCAGCUUGCCUGAAUCCUACCGUUCGGGGGCCGGCAAUGGUAGUUCAAUCCAGGGCUGUUCCUCGAUGUCGCAGAUUAAAUUGCCCCUUCGGAAAAGUCCUUCUUUUUCGUAAGUGUGGCGAUGAACGGUAUAUUCCUUAACCUUCGUCGUAACUUCGUCCCGUUGGGCGGUGAUCACGGAGAUAAACCAUACUGUUCACAUUU